CCUACGGGAGGCAGCAGUGAGGAAUAUUGGUCAAUGGCCGGAAGGCUGAACCAGCCAUGCCGCGUGAAGGUCAGUGCCCUAUGGGCGUUAAACUUCUUUUGUGCGGGAGCAAUAAUGGUCACGUGUGGCCAGACGAGAGUACCGUACGAAUAAGCAUCGGCUAACUCCGUGCCAGCAGCCGCGGGAAUACGGGGGAUGCAAGCGUUAUCCGGAUUUAUUGGGUUUAAAGGGUGCGUAGGCUGUGAGGUAAGUCAGCGGUGAAAUGCCCCCGCUCAACGGGGUGAAGUGCCAUUGAUACUGCCUGGCUGGAAUGCGGAUGCCGUGGGAGGAAUGUGUGGUGGAGCGGUGAAAUGCAUAGAUAUCACACAGAACACCGAUUGCGAAGGCAUCUCACGAAUCCGCGAUUGACGCUGAUGCACGAAAGCGUGGGUAUCAAACAGGAUUAGAUACCCCGGUAGUC
rnacentral:rRNA from 1 species